ensembl:lncRNA
CUCAAUCACUGACCACUUCGCCACUCAUCUCUUUCAACAGCCCUUAAACUGACCGGGACGUAAAUGAACACCUUUUCCUUUCCGCUUCUCCUUUUUUUUAAGGAAUACAAGACGAUAAUCAGAUAAUGGAGUCUGGUAGACCCCUGGCUUCAUCACCUGAACCGUUCUUCCUUCAUAUGGCCUCAUCUAAAGCCAGCUCAUCCCCUGCUCCACCCCAGAAACUCCACACCAAGUCCAGAGCGACCCGUAGUCCUAUAGUCAGCUCUCCCAUCACCAUUUCUGGUAUGUAUAGACAGUAGAAAACUUUACAUUAGACUUAGUUAGAUGUGCUCAAAGUAAUAUAACAAGGUUACAGUUAGUAAGACUUUCAACAUUCAUCCAAGUGGUUUAGGAAAAGUAUUGCAUUAGCUGUGUGUAAAAAAACAGAAAAACAAAAACAAAAAAAACCCCCAACUAAUUAAUAAAUAAAUAAAUACUGACAGUUUUAUACAUAGUCCCAUUUAUAGAGGCUUAAAUUAAACAAUUGCCUUACAGAACAGUUUCAUGGCCAGAUGAGGCCUGUUCCCUUACAGUUCUACAUGUGGAGUCGAUUUUGCAUUUGGUAGACGUUCACUGAAACUCUCUUUAUCAUAUCCAAAAAGAUGUGACUGCACGUCAAGGAUGCCAUCAUUAAGCAGGAAGAUCAAAAUAAACCAGAUAAAUCAAAGAGAUAGCAAUUUUACAAGUGACCAGAUCAGA